GGACACACUGUGAUGAUAUGUGCUCUCCGUGUUCACAGGACACGUGCCACACAGAACCUUGUCAAAAACGUUCACCUGAACACACUUUGGUUAUUUCUUUUGGGGCAUUAGCAGGACUCCUAUGCUGCAUUGUUCUAGCCAUGAUCAUCAUAUUUUGGAUAUAUGUGAAGAGGAGAAACACAGAUACUCCUUUCUUCAGGAACAUUUCAAGAACAAUCAACAGCACCAAUGCUACGUACAGUGAGAUAGAUGACAGUUUAGUUUCACCAUCACGGCCAACGAGACCUGCUUUACCUCUGAAAGAAAUCCCCAAGAAA